CAUGUGACACCCAGCGCUCCUAUGCAGAGCGGGAGGCUCUCCCCCUCCUUGUGUACUGUGCGUGAGGCUCCAUAAAGGAACCGCAUGCUGCCUGAGGUGGCAGGCUGAGUCUGACAAGUGAUUUUGGUGCCCCUUGACAGGUGCUCCUGAUUGGCUGGCCCACAAGGAAGGUCCUUGUGGGCCGCGAGUUUGACAUGCUUGAUGCAUUGUAUAAAUAUCAGUGUGUGUGUAAAAAAUAAAAUGCAAUCACUAGGUGGCGCUCCAGUGACACACAAGCAGAGCUGCACAUGAGGUGAAAUAGAACGCUCCACAAAAAUGAUCCUAUCGAUCUAAAUCGGGGGUGUCAAACUAAUUUGUUCUGGGGGGCCAAAUUGUUCAC